rnacentral:misc_RNA from 1 species
UUUUAUUGAAAGAAACUUGUAAAUAUAUACCAGGUGCAAGGCACCGAUCGCCUCUAGAAAGACAGCCACCUUAAUUUCUUACAAUGGCAUUAUUCUACAGAAGGCUCAAUCCUAUAAUUACAAAGUUGGAAUUAAAGAAAAUGAGCAAAGGGGGAAGGUAUCAACCAUCAAGGCUGGCGGCUUCAAACAGAGUGCAGCUGUGAGAUUUCAUUUCGUAAGCAAUUAAACCUGCCAUCUGCUCGACCAUUGGUUCACCAUCUUUGGAAAAGAACCCUGGGAAUGGAAGA